GGUGCUUGCACCGGGUGGAUGAGUGGCGAACGGGUGAGUAACACGUGAGUAACCUGCCCCUGACUUCGGGAUAAGCCCGGGAAACUGGGUCUAAUACCGGAUACGACUGCCGGACGCAUGUCUGGUGGUGGAAAGUUUUUUCGGUUGGGGAUGGGCUCGCGGCCUAUCAGUUUGUUGGUGAGGUAAUGGCUCACCAAGACGACGACGGGUAGCCGGCCUGAGAGGGCGACCGGCCACACUGGGACUGAGACACGGCCCAGACUCCUACGGGAGGCAGCAGUGGGGAAUAUUGCACAAUGGGGGAAACCCUGAUGCAGCGACGCAGCGUGCGGGAUGACGGCCUUCGGGUUGUAAACCGCUUUCAGCAGGGAAGAAGCGCAAGUGACGGUACCUGCAGAAGAAGUACCGGCUAACUACGUGCCAGCAGCCGCGGUAAUACGUAGGGUACGAGCGUUGUCCGGAAUUAUUGGGCGUAAAGAGCUCGUAGGUGGUUGGUCACGUCUGCUGUGGAAACGCAACGCUUAACGUUGCGCGUGCAGUGGGUACGGGCUGACUAGAGUGCAGUAGGGGAGUCUGGAAUUCCUGGUGUAGCGGUGAAAUGCGCAGAUAUCAGGAGGAACACCGGUGGCGAAGGCG
rnacentral:rRNA from 1 species